rnacentral:rRNA from 1 species
UACACACCGCCCGUCAAGCCAUGGGAGUGAAUUGUACCAGAAGCGGGUAGGCUAACCUUCGGGGGCCGCUCACCACGGUAUGCUUCAUGACUGGGGCU